rnacentral:rRNA from 1 species
AGAGUUUGAUCCUGGCUCAGGAUGAACGCUGGCGGCGUGCUUAACACAUGCAAGUCGAGCGAAGCACUGUAAUUGGAAGCCUACGGGAAGAAGAAUAUAGUGACUGAGCGGCGGACGGGUGAGUAACGCGUGGGCAACCUGCCUUGCACAGGGGGAUAACAGUUAGAAAUGACUGCUAAUACCGCAUAAGACCACAGCCCCGCAUGGGGCGGAGGUAAAAACCGAGGUGGUGCAAGAUGGGCCCGCGUCUGAUUAGGGCAGUUGGUGGGGUAACGGCCCACCAAACCGACGAUCAGUAGCCGACCUGAGAGGGCGACCGGCCACAUUGGGACUGAGACACGGCCCAAACUCCUACGGGAGGCAGCAGUGGGGAAUACUGCACAAUGGGGGAAACCCUGAUGCAGCGACGCCGCGUGAGUGAGGAAGUAUUUCGGUAUGUAAAGCUCUAUCAGCAGGGAAGAAAAUGACGGUACCUGACUAAGAAGCCCCGGCUAACUACGUG